ACUCAGCAGGGUCUUUCCUAUGCUGACCCCUCCCUUAUCCUGCUCCCCUCAGAUCCGCCUCCACAGCCAGCUCUGCACCUGGAUCCCCCAUCUGGAGCAGUGAGCGAAGGGCUCCCCCUGCUCAUCACCUGUGUGGCACCCGAAGAUGCCGGCGAGAGGAGGUUUCAAUUCUACAAGGAUAGAACCGAGCUCGUCCUCGGAGACGUGGGGUCGGAGAUCAUCACCAUGGAGCCCGGCACCGGCUCUGUCAAUGUCUCUGUGCUCAGCAUCCCAUGGGCCAGUCCCGAGAGCACCGGGGAAUUCACCUGCGGGUAUGAGGAGAACAUGAGCGGAAGGUGGAUCCCGUCCCCCAGGAGCCGGGCUGUGAACGUCACUGUGACAGCGAAGGCUUCUCCAGGCUCCAUUCAGGCCUGGCCUCCGUGGAUCCCCCUGGUGGCCGGAUGUGUCGGUGCCGCAGCUCUUCUCCCCCUGCUGCUUCUCCUCAUCUGCCUCUGCAGGAGGAAGAAAGGUGGUGUCGCAGCAGAGACACAGCCCCCGCAUGUCAACAGACCCUCCGGGGCUGGCACAGCUCUGCAGGAAUGGAGCCGUGAAAGGCAGGUCCAGCCAGUGACCCACAACCAACCAGUGCGGCCCAAGAACCCUGGAGGGAAGCCCAUAGUGGGUCAAGACCCCCAGGAAAGGGACAAGAGAGAAGAGGAUGCAGAUGACAGGGGAGGGUGCAACUCCUUGGUAAUCAAUACCGUCUAUUCCACCCUGACUCCCCCUUGCACCGUGGCCCAGCAGAGAGGGAGAAAGUACUUCUCAGAGGCUGUAGUGUACAGCGAAAUCCCCUCCUGAUCACAGCUUCUGCGACAACCCCAGACCCAUCCCACCCCCACUGAGAACACCUCUCAUAAUGCCCCAUCCCCCCAACCUUACCUUCCCUGCAAAUAGCCACAAACAUCUUCCUGGUGUACUUUCAAUGUGAGGUGGGGGACAGGGGCUGGGAGCCAGGACUCCUGGGUUCUAUCCCCAGCUCUGGGAGGGGAGUAGGUUUAGUUUAUUAGAGCAGGUGGUGAGGCUGGGAGCCAUGGUCUGUGAAGGGAGUAGGUUAUAGCAGGGAGAGUAGUAAUUCCCAAUGCUUAGAUUAUUUUCAGUAUACGGGUUAGAGGAGGGAGUUUGGGUUUUAAUCUGUCAAAGACAAGUGUUUGCAGAACUAUGUGAAAUAGUCCAGAGGGGCCCCUACCCCUGCAUCUGUUCCAAUGCACAUUGCGCCCUUUUGUUGUGGGAAACCUUCUCUUACGAUGGGACCCCCUGGAUAUUAUUACUCUUGUUCCUUCGCCGUGGAGUUCUGGGUCUGUGUUUACAAAACUCCUUUAAACAAAAUGAAAUCACAUUGGUUUUCAUUAAGGGGUUAGAUAGAGGAGUGGCCUCUAUCUAUGUCACACAUACACAGAUCUCAUCCCCUCCCGUAAGGGGCAGAAGGGAGGGACACACACGGCUGGAGGACAGCCUGUGACCAAGAGAUCUGUGCAACAUCCCCAACAUCGGAAGAGCUUCCCAUACUGGGAAUGGGGGAUACGUUAAUCAAACCACUGAAAUGCAGCCAGCUCUGGGGUAAGGACUGACCACUCUUUAACACAGUUAGCGCUACCCCUCCAAAGGGAUCUUCACCUGGGGCUGAAAUGCAGCCACUUCCGGGGGAUGGUUUGACAGCAGUUUAGCAGCAUCAGGGCAAACACUGCAGAAGUGGAUCUCGCUCCCAGCACCAAAAUGCAGCCGCUUGUAAGGUGGAACAUGGCAGUUCUUGAAGAGCUCCCGGCAGAGCUAUUCUGGAGAGGGGGGCAUGGAGAAACCUGGGUCCAACUGAGGCUGCAAUUUGAGGGAGGCAAAAUCAGUUGUGAAAACGCCAAGGGAUCUGUGAUGACCACUACUGGUGAACGAAGGUGUAUUUCAUUUUAAACCAGACAGCACAGUGCACCCCAGUGCCAUGCUGGGGUAUUGGGGUCACCAUUGACUGCAGGGUAAGAACACCCCCUUCUGAGCCCCUGCCCUGCUCCCUACAGCACAACCCCUCCACAAGCCACACUCGGGGAUGGAGGUCAGCACCGACUCUGAAGGGACAGCGCCCCCUACAGGCUCCCCUGCCCUGCUCCCGGCAGUGCUUUAGAGAUCUCCUCUCUGAGCACUGACAUCACCCAUGUGUCUCUCCUAUACGAGGUGGGAUUGGACCACAGCACAGGAGGCUACACCAGUCUGCGUUGAUCCUGGGCUGCAUGGGGUCCACAGGAGGGUCAUAGACCGAACAGGGGAGUUCGAACUCACAGAGAUCUGAUGCAUUCCCCAAAUGGCCGGCUGGAAUGCUGUCCAUGAGUUUGCUUGAUUGCUCGCAGCAGAGAACUCAUCCGCUUUCCUACGACGGAAUCUCACCUGUUGUAUUGCCUGGAGGUGGCUUAUCAAGUGGCCCAAAGAGGAGGAUGCUGGAACGCAGAACUCCUGGGUUCGAUUUUCCCCCCCUCCACUCAGUCAUGUGCCUCAGUUUCCCAUAUUUAUAUAUUGAGGAUCAUGCUUCUCUUACACGGUGAUUGUCACAGCUGCAAACUGCGGUGAGAUGCUCAGAUCAAAGAUGUCGGGGGGCCACCAAAGGAUUAAAUUUCACCAUCCAUCGCCCUGUUCACACUGUGGAGAAACUAUUUCACUUCAGCUCCUUGAGGCAGGGCUACAAAGGCAGUGAUGGCGCAGCGCGGGGGAGGGGACGUCUAUUAAUCAUCUCUGUGACCGCAACUGUGCCAGCUGUUUCUCUGCGGCUGCGAGGCUUCCUGCGGUGGCUGGCUCCCCUGGGCUGCUGCGCUCUGCGGUUUCCAAGGCCAGGGCAGUGGCUGGGUUGCUAUUGGCACCCGCCCCAAUGCACCUGGCCUGUGUGUCCUGCCCUCCGUGUGAUUAAGGGGUCGACACACACCCCACGCUGGGUCCCCUUCCUGCUCAUAGACACACACACACACACCCUGCCAUGGGUACUCCAUUAGCAUCCCCGGCCCCCCGCAACCUGCGUAGCCAGCAUGGAGCGGCAGGUCUGUGUGAUCCUGUACACUGACCAUCCCCAGCUCAAGACCUGGCCAGCCAGAGCCAGAAGCAGCCAAACCAGGGUCCUCUGGACAUACCGAGAUCUUCCUGCAGUUUUCAAAUGAGCUGACGGGACAUUUGCUCCAAGCCACCUCUCCCUAUAGUCUCUUCCCCACCACUCCGCACCUGCCCCUUCUCCCCAGCCCUCUCACUCCCUUUAGCUGAUCCCCUCCUUGCUAAACCCACCAUCACCCCAAAAUAGCCAUGCCGUCAGCUGCCAUCCCAUUGAUCUCUCCGCUCGGGGUGUCCUACCCCUUCCCCCGCCCUGUGGCCACCUGGUCUAUUUCAAUCCAUGGCCGGUCCUUAGAGCCAGCUGUUACCAGAUUUGCCCAUUUGUCACGGAGUGUCGGGGGACACAAGGCCCUGCACCCCCGGCUUCCUGCGAUUCACCAUGACUCUCAGCCAGCCAGUAAAGCCGAAGGUUUAUUUAGACGACAGAAAUACAGUCCAAGACAGGUCUUGCAGGCACAGACAGACAACAGGACCCCCCUCAGUUAGGUCCAUCUUUGGGUCCCAAGGCACCCCAGCCCCCUUGGGAGGUCAGAGCCCCGUCUGCCUCCCAGCCAUCUCCCCAGCCAGCUCCUGAAACUCUCCCUUCAGCAACCCCUCCCACAGCCUUUGUUCAGUUUCCCGGGCAAAGGUGUCACCUGGCCUCUAACCCCUUCCUGGGUUCUCAUGGUACAUGCUCAGGUAUUCUCCCUCAGUCAGUCUCCCAUCCCCCAAUGCAGACUAUCCCAGCCACACUCCCCUGUCAGCAUUCACAGACCACAGUAAGAACAGUCCCAGUUCAUCACACCAUUACUUUGGAGUAUGCUUAUUUAUUAGGGUUACUCUUCUGGGGGGCGGGUGUGUAAUUCUAUCAAUAUACAGCUUGUGUCACUUGUGUUUUCAUAUGGAGCUCUACUUCUUCCUUCUGCAAGUCCCCUCCCAAUGGAGCGAUCCUGCAGGACCUAGAGUCCCCAGGGCUGGGUGUGUAUGUACACACACACACACAAGUCUGAGCUGACCAGGUCAAUCAGCACUUUCAAACUGCCACCCUUAUGUGCCCCUGGACUCAGUAGUCUGGGUCAAGGAGCACUUCCAAGCUGCCACCCUCGUAUAUCCCAGGUUCAGCACGUCCCUAUCCCCACUCUCACAUUACAGUUGUUCUGGCAGUAACCCACUUGAUGAGCAAACCCUACAGGAUUUUGGGUGCUGCCGGGAUCUUUAGCUUAGGUAAGAGAAGCGUUGCUGCAGAGCAAAUGAGGAAGCCAAAAACGCAAAAGAGUAAAGUUCAGAGAGGGAGAGGCAGCCAGCUUAACCAUAGAAGUUAUUUAUUGAAUAAUCGUGAUAACUACACAAGGAGAGCCUAAACCCACAUAACAGUUACAUUAUUAUCGGUCACAAAAGUCAUAUAUACAAAACUCUACCUGAUCACACAAGUCAGGGUUAGAAAGUUAUACCUGAGGUAGAAAAGAGAGAGAGAGAGAGAGAGAGAGAGAGAGAUCUCACCACUCCAUGAGGCUUGAACUGGUCGGGGUUCCCAGGUCAUGGUGGUAGCUCAGGGUCCUCAGUGCUGGAGACAGGCAGAUCAGUCCGGAAAAGAUGUAAUCCCAGUGGAACUGAUGCAGAGUUUGGAUCCAGGCAUCAGAGCACUUACUGGAGUGUGGGUAGGGGUUUUUGUAGAGAAAAUACAAUGGUUCAAGGGAGACACUAGAUUUGUUUAUGGGUAAACUGAUGACUCAAGGGUUUUCUUUAGGCCAGACAAUAGGAGCUGAUCGCUCUUGGUUAUGGGUGAUGUUCCUUCAGGGAGCUCACAAUGCAACUAGGCUGCUUCAGUAUUUGGAUAUCAAUCAAGGAUUCAUUACUAGAAUUGGUCUGAUAACUGCAGAGCUGGGUGUGUGCAGGCGUUGGGUUCAUUAACAUCUGGAGCAGAGAUCCCCCAUCAUGCAGUGCGUCCCUGCUUUUCUGGUCCCAGAGUUCAGUGUGGUUCUCUGUUCUCCAUUCAUGCAGAUGAGGCUAAGGGAGUUGCCUUUGUUCUUGUCACCCUUGUCAGGAGGGGUCUAGGUGCGCCUCCCAAUGCCCCUCACUGCUCUCUGCAAGUCUUUUCUCUGAUCAGUUUUGGUUCAAACAGAGGCUGGUGGGGCAGGGAGAUCUCUCAUGAGUCAGACAGGCUGGAUACUGUGCCCUGGUUCCCUAACAACACAGAGCUGACUGGUAUCACAGCUGAAAUAAAAAGAACAGGAGUACUUGUGGCA
rnacentral:lncRNA from 1 species